GACGAACGCUGGCGGCGUGCUUAACACAUGCAAGUCGAACGGAAAGGCCCUGCUUUUGUGGGGUGCUCGAGUGGCGAACGGGUGAGUAACACGUGAGUAACCUGCCCUUGACUUUGGGAUAACUUCAGGAAACUGGGGCUAAUACCGGAUAGGAGCUCCUGCUGCAUGGUGGGGGUUGGAAAGUUUCGGCGGUUGGGGAUGGACUCGCGGCUUAUCAGCUUGUUGGUGGGGUAGUGGCUUACCAAGGCUUUGACGGGUAGCCGGCCUGAGAGGGUGACCGGCCACAUUGGGACUGAGAUACGGCCCAGACGCAUACGGGAGGCAGCAGUGGGGAAUAUUGCACAAGGGGCGGAAGCCUGAUGCAGCAACGCCGCGUGCGGGAUGACGGCCUUCGGGUUGUAAACCGCUUUCGCCUGUGACGAAGCGUGAGUGACGGUAAUGGGUAAAGAAGCACCGGCUAACUACGUG
rnacentral:rRNA from 1 species